UUUUAUAUUCACUCGUUCAAGUGCUGAUCUAUUUUUAAAUUGAAUAUUUAUUUUUAUUCAAAUAUAUUGAAAUUAAUAUGGAAACAAAAGUUCAUAAAUAUUAGUUUGAAAAGCCAUGUCAGAAGAGUAGGAUUAAAGACAAAGUAUUAAGAGUAAUUGGGCUGUUCCUGAACAAUAUUGAAUAUAAAUAUUCAAAAAUAUGAUAAACUGCAUAUCCUACUAAGUAGAUCAAUACCAAAAUUCCAUUAGAGAAAUAAGUUAAAAUUAUGUUUUACUUGUAUAAUUUUCUUGCUAUUUGUCCACCAUUAUUUGUGACUUAGAAAUUAAAUAGUCAAAAAGAA